rnacentral:rRNA from 1 species
CACAUGCAAGUCGAACGAAGUUAGGAAGCUUGCUCCUGAUACUUAGUGGCGGACGGGUGAGUAAUGCUUAGGAAUCUGCCUAGUAGUGGGGGAUAACUUGGGGAAACCCAAGCUAAUACCGCAUACGACCUACGGGUGAAAGGGGGCGCAAGCUCUCGCUAUUAGAUGAGCCUAAGUCGGAUUAGCUAGUUGGUGGGGUAAAGGCCUACCAAGGCGACGAUCUGUAGCUGGUCUGAGAGGAUGAUCAGCCACACUGGGACUGAGACACGGCCCAGACUCCUACGGGAGGCAGCAGUGGGGAAUAUUGGACAAUGGGCGAAAGCCUGAUCCAGCCAUGCCGCGUGUGUGAAGAAGGCCUUUUGGUUGUAAAGCACUUUAAGUGGGGAGGAAAAGCUUAUGGUUAAUACCCAUAAGCCCUGACGUUACCCACAGAAUAAGCACCGGCUAACUCUGUGCCAGCAGCCGCGGUAAUACAGAGGGUGCAAGCGUUAAUCGGAAUUACUGGGCGUAAAGCGCGCGUAGGUGGUUAUUUAAGUCAGAUGUGAAAACCCCGGGCUUAACCUGGGAACUGCAUCUGAUACUGGAUAACUAGAGUAGGUGAGAGGGGAGUAGAAUUCCAGGUGUAGCGGUGAAAUGCGUAGAGAUCUGGAGGAAUACCGAUGGCGAAGGCAGCUCCCUGGCAUCAUACUGACACUGAGGUGCGAAAGCGUGGGUAGCAAACAGGAUUAGAUACCCUGGUAGUCCACGCCGUAAACGAUGUCUACCAGUCGUUGGGUCUUUUAAAGACUUAGUGACGCAGUUAACGCAAUAAGUAGACCG